rnacentral:misc_RNA from 1 species
AAUUCUCAACCUUUCUAGCUUUUAAUAGCUUGUCAGGCUUGGAUUGUGGAAGUUGCUGGUUCAAACGAAUCAGCUCUUCUUAAAUGUAUUAGCAGAAACCUUUGCUGACCAUCUUUGGUAUGAUAAUUAUCUAUAUCAUUGAAAAUCAGUGUCCUUCCGAGGAGAGGCUUCGCUUCUAAUAGUCUUUUAGACAACUUGACAA